rnacentral:rRNA from 1 species
AGGGAAUCUUCCACAAUGGACGAAAGUCUGAUGGAGCAACGCCGCGUGAGGGAAGAAGGUUUUCGGAUUGUAAACCUCUGUCGCAGAUGACGAAGGAAGUGACGGUAAUCUGUGAGGAAGCCCCGGCUAACUACGUGCCAGCAGCCGCGGUAAUACGUAGGGGGCGAGCGUUGUCCGGAAUUACUGGGCGUAAAGGGAGCGUAGGCGGUCGAUUAAGUUGGAUGUGAAAUACCCGGGCUUAACUUGGGGGGUGCAUCCAAUACUGGUUGACUAGAGUACAGGAGAGGAAAGCGGAAUUCCUAGUGUAGCGGUGAAAUGCAUAGAUAUUAGGAGGAACAUCGGUGGCGAAGGCGGCUUUCUGGACUGACACUGACGCUGAGGCUCGAAAGCGUGGGGAGCAAACA